rnacentral:tRNA from 1 species
AGCAUUAUAGUACAAUGGAAGUACAAUGGGCCCAUGACCCGUAGAUAAAGGUUCGAUUCCUUUUAAUGCUU